rnacentral:rRNA from 1 species
ACCUUCGGGAUCGGGAUAGCUGCUGGAAACGGCAGGUAAUACCGGAUGGUCAGGUCGGGAGGCAUCUCUUGACUUGUAAAUGGUUGGGCAACCUUCUGCCCGAAGAGCGGCCUAUGUCCUAUUAGCUUGUUGGUGAGGUAACGGCUCACCAAGGCUGCGAUGGGUAGCCGGACUGAGAGGUUGGCCGGUCACACUGGGACUGAGACACUGCCCAGACUCCUACGGGAGGCUGCAGUCGAGAAUCUUCCGCAAUGGACGCAAGUCUGACGGGGCGACGCCGCGUGGGGGAUGAAGGCUUUCGGGUUGUAAACCCCUGUUGCACGCUAGGAAUAUCUGUGGGUUAAUAGCCUUGCAGGUUGACCAUCGUGUGAGGAAGCACAGGCUAACUCCGUGCCAGCAGCCGCGGUAAUACGGAGUGUGCAAGCGUUACUCGGAAUCACUGGGCAUAAAGAGCACGUAGGCGGGCCGCUUAGUCGGUGGUGAAAGCCCUCAGCUCAACUGAGGAAUUGCUACCGAAACUGGUGGCCUUGAGGACAAGAGGGGAGAGUGGAACUUCUGGUGGAGCGGUGAAAUGCGUAGAUAUCAGAAGGAACACCGGUGGCGAAAGCGACUCUCUGGCUUGUUUCUGACGCUGAGGUGCGAAAGCGUGGGUAGCAAACAGGAUUAGAUACCCUGGUAGUCCACGCCGUAAACGAUGGGCACUAAGCAGGGGAGGUUCCGAUGCCUUCCUUGCUGGAGCUAAUGUAUUAAGUGCCCCGCCUGGGGAGUACAGUCGCAAGGCCGAAACUCAAAGGAAUUGACGGGGGCUCACACAAGCGGUGGAGCAUGUGGUUUAAUUCGAAUCAACGCGCAAAACCUUACCUGGGUUUGACAUGCACGGAUUAGCCCCUAGAAACAGGGGUGACGCCCGCAAGGGUGGAACGUGCACAGGUGCUGCAUGGCUGUCGUCAGCUCGUGUCGUGAGAUGUCGGGUUAAGUCCCUUAACGAGCGAAACCCUCCGUUAGUUGCCAGCGGAUAAUGCCGGGGACUCUAGCGGGACUGCCGUGGUCAACACGGAGGAAGGCGGGGAUGACGUCAAGUCCUCAUGGCCUUUAUGCCCAGGGCUACACACGUGCUACAAUGGGCGGUACAAAGGGCUGCGAACCCGCGAGGGGGAGCUAAUCCCAAAAAACCGUUCUCAGUUCGGAUUGGAGUCUGCAACCCGACUCCAUGAAGGCGGAAUCGCUAGUAAUCGUGCAUCAGCAUGGUAC